rnacentral:rRNA from 1 species
UGAUACUAAGCCAUGCGAGUCAUUGUAGCAAUACAAGGCAUACGGCUCAGUAACGCGUAGUCAACCUAACCUAUGGACGGGAAUAACCUCGGGAAACUGAGAAUAAUGCCCGAUAGAACAUUAUGCCUGGAAUGGUUUAUGUUCCAAAUGAUUUAUCGCCGUAGGAUGGGACUGCGGCCUAUCAGUUUGUUGGUGAGGUAAUGGCCCACCAAGACUAUUACAGGUACGGGCUCUGAGAGGAGUAGCCCGGAGAUGGGUACUGAGACACGGACCCAGGCCCUAUGGGGCGCAGCAGGCGAGAAAACUUUGCAAUGUGCGAAAGCACGACAAGGUUAAUCCGAGUGGUUUCUGCUAAAGGAACCUUUUGUCAGUCCUAGAAACACUGAUGAAUAAGGGGUGGGCAAGUUCUGGUGUCAGCCGCCGCGGUAAAACCAGCACCUCAAGUGGUCAGGAUGAUUAUUGGGCCUAAAGCAUCCGUAGCCGGCUCUGUAAGUUUUCGGUUAAAUCUGUACGCUCAACGUACAGGCUGCCGGGAAUACUGCAAAGCUAGGGAGUGGGAGAGGUAGACGGUACUCGGUAGGAAGGGGUAAAAUCCUUUGAUCUAUUGAUGACCACCUGCGGCGAAGGCGGUCUACCAGAACACGUCCGACGGUGAGGGAUGAAAGCUGGGGGAGCAAACCGGAUUAGGUACCCGGGUAGUCCCAGCUGUAAACCAUGCAAACUCAGUGAUGCAUUGGCUUGUGGCCAAUGCAGUGCUGCAGGGAAGCCGUUAAGUUUGCCGCCUGGGAAGUACGUACGCAAGUAUGAAACUUAAAGGAAUUGGCGGGGGAGCACCACAAGGGGUGAAGCCUGCGGUUCAAUUGG